GGGGCAUAUGGUACAACUAUAAUUGUAAAAGGCUCAAGGCGCACCAAGGCACAAAGGGGGUUUGGAGCCUAGGUGCAAGGCGCAGGCACGCGCCCAAGCAACUCGAGGCGCAAAAAAUUAAAAAGCAAAAUCGUUAAAAUUCAAGUAACAUAAAGCUAAAUGCAAUAAAAUCAAAUACCAAAUAUCAAAUGCAAUAUAAUUUUUACUCGUUUGCUACUUUCACAAUCACAAUUCACAAAUCACAUUAUCACAAUCCACAAUUCAUAUUCACAAUAAACUCUAAAUUAUUGUUUGCUAACUAUAUUCACAAAUCUCAAUUUACUUGAUUAAUUAACAUGAUAAUUGUUAUAAGUUAUAGAAAGUAAAUAUGUUAAUAUAGGAAGUAAAUAUUGAUAGAUGGGUCAGUUGCUUAAUCUUAGGGAUUGUAUAAUCAUAGGCUUGAUUUUCCUUCCUGUUUAGUUACCGUCUCUCAUGUAUAAAUAGGUUGUAAUCUCUAUUGUGAUAUACAAUAAAUAUUAUCUUUCUACAUAGUAUCAGAGCCUUUCUCAUAGAGAUUUUUUUUUCUCUUUUCUCUCUCGUAAAGUUUUAAGAUUUUUUUGGAGACUUAGAGCUCCGUUCAUUUGGGUUAUCCAUAAAGGGUAACACUUGAAUCUCACCAACGCUGGAGUCACCACACUGACCCCUUGUCAGAUUUGAGGUUUGUUUGCCGUUCGGGUGUUGGGUGGAGGUGUUUUAUUUGGUACUGUUCACGGCACUGUUCACGUGGUACUGUUCAUCGGUACUAUUCACGUGGUACUGUUCAUUGGUACUGUUCACGCCGGGUACUGUUUUCUGAUUCUGUGUUUCGUUUGUUGCUAUCGUUUUUGAGUUGGUUGUCCUUAUGGCUGAAGUUAAAACCACCACCGUAACUAAUGUGAUUCCUAUGAUGACUAAAAUCACGGAACACAAAUUGAAUGGAUCUUCCGAUUAGGGAAUUUUGGUUCUAGUGCUGAAUCUGAAUAUCGAGCUAUGGCACAAGCCGUUUGUGAAAUCUUGUGGGUACGUCAACUGUUGGAAGAAGUUGGGUUCACAAAUUUGGUGUCUGCUAAGUUGUGGUGUGAUAAUCAAGCAGCUAUCCACAUUGCCUCCAAUCCAGUAUUUCACGAGAGGACUAAACACAUCGAGAUUAAUUGUCAUUUUGUUCGUGAAAAGGUCCAACAAAAGAUAAUAUCAACAAGACAUAUCCGAACUGGAGAACAAUUAGGAGAUAUUUUCACUAAAGCUCUAAAUGGGACUCGAGUUGAUUAUAUAUGUAACAAGUUGGGCAUGAUUAACAUUUAUGAUCCAACUUGAGGGGGAGUGUUAUAAGUUAUAGAAAGUAAAUAUGUUAAUAUAGGAAGUAAAUAUUGAUAGAUGGGUCAGUUGCUUAAUCUUAGGGAUUGUAUAAUCAUAGGCUUGAUUUUCCUUCCUGUUUAGUUACCGUCUCUCAUGUAUAAAUAGGUUGUAAUCUCUAUUGUGAUAUACAAUAAAUAUUAUCUUUCUACAAUAAUAAUAUAAACGGAAAAUUAAUAUAAAGUUAAAAAAAAAAUCAACAAUAAAAGGUUGGUUGGCAAUGCAGAGCAGCAUGCCGGAAGUAUGACAAUCAUGGGGAGAGAAAGAGUAAAGAGAAAGAGAAGGAAGUAAACGAGAAAGAAUAAAGAAAGGAAGGAUAAUUAUAAACUCAAAAAAAAAAUUAUAUGUUAAGAAUGAACUGAAGAGAUGAAAUGUAGGUAUAUUGAAGUCUUGAACGUUGAUUAAGAAUGAACUGAAGAGAUGAAAUGUAGGUAUAUUGAAGUCUUGAACGUUGAUUUUUUCUUCCUCUCCUUCCUCUUUUUCUCUUCCUUUUUCUUCCUCUUCUUUUUUUUCCCUCUUUUUCCUUCUCUCUCCUGCGGCUGCUGCUGGCUAUUGAAGUUGUUGUUAAAGUCUAGAGCAAAUUU
rnacentral:lncRNA from 1 species